rnacentral:rRNA from 1 species
AUUGAACGCUGGCGGCAGGCCUAACACAUGCAAGUCGAGCGGAUGAAGGGAGCUUGCUCCUGGAUUCAGCGGCGGACGGGUGAGUAAUGCCUAGGAAUCUGCCUGGUAGUGGGGGAUAACGUCCGGAAACGGGCGCUAAUACCGCAUACGUCCUGAGGGAGAAAGUGGGGGAUCUUCGGACCUCACGCUAUCAGAUGAGCCUAGGUCGGAUUAGCUAGUUGGUGGGGUAAAGGCCUACCAAGGCGACGAUCCGUAACUGGUCUGAGAGGAUGAUCAGUCACACUGGAGCUGAGACACGGUCCAGGCUCCUAAGGGAGGGAGCAGUGGGGAAUAUUAGACAGUGGGCGAAAGCCUUAUCCAACCAUGGCGCGUGUGUGAAGGAGGUCUUCGGAGUGUAAAGCCGGUUAUGUUGGGAGAAAGGGCAGUAAGUUAAUACCUUGCUGGUUUGACGUCACCAACAAAAUAAGCACCGGCUAACUUCGUG